GCUUUACUGUAGCCUGAUAUUGAAUUUUGGUACAGCUUGUACAGGAUAGGUAGGAGCCUGAGAAGCCGGAGCGCUAGCUUCGGUGGAGGCGUCGGUGGGAUACUACCCUGGCUGUAUUGAAAUUCUAACCCGCGGCCCUUAUCGGGCCGGGAGACAGUGUCAGGUGGGCAGUUUGACUGGGGCGGUCGCCUCCUAAAAUGUAACGGAGGCGCCCAAAGGUUCCCUCAGAAUGGUUGGAAAUCAUUCGUAGAGUGUAAAGGCACAAGGGAGCUUGACUGCGAGACCUACAAGUCGAGCAGGGACGAAAGUCGGGCUUAGUGAUCCGGUGGUUCCGCAUGGAAGGGCCAUCGCUCAACGGAUAAAAGCUACCCCGGGGAUAACAGGCUUAUCUCCCCCAAGAGUCCACAUCGACGGGGAGGUUUGGCACCUCGAUGUCGGCUCAUCGCAUCCUGGGGCUGUAGUCGGUCCCAAGGGUUGGGCUGUUCGCCCAUUAAAGCGGUACGCGAGCUGGGUUCAGAACGUCGUGAGACAGUUCGGUCCCUAUCCGUCGUGGGCGUAGGAAAUUUGAGAGGAGCUGUCCUUAGUACGAGAGGACCGGGAUGGACACACCGCUGGUGUACCAGUUGUCUUGCCAAAGGCAUCGCUGGGUAGCUAUGUGUGGACGGGAUAAGUGCUGAAAGCAUCUAAGCAUGAAGCCCCCCUCAAGAUGAGAUUUCCCAUAGCGCAAGCUAGUAAGAUCCCUGAAAGAUGAUCAGGUUGAUAGGUCAGAGGUGGAAGCGUGGCGACAUGUGUAGCUGACUGAUACUAAUCGAUCGAGGACUUAACCAAA
rnacentral:rRNA from 2 species